rnacentral:tRNA from 1 species
GGAGUAGUACUCAAGUGGUUAAGAGGCUUGUUUGCUAAACAAGUAGGACAUUGAAAAAUGUUGCAAGAGUUCGAAUCUCUUCUGCUCCG